CAAGCUAGUUUCAGCAGAAAAGAACUUAUGAGGUCACUAAAGCAUCCCACGGUGCUCAGAGACUCAGGAAAAUUCUAGAACUGAAGAUGGGUUAAGCCACAGACACUGCUUCUCAUCUCCAUACCUCCGAGCUCCUGACAGGCUGCAGCUGGUAACGCCUCCCCCUCCUGGCCCAGCUUGCCUAGCUGCCCUCACCUUGACAACCACAGAAAAGCCAAAGACUGCACACAUGUGCACCACACUAUUUAUCCUCCUGCCUGUGUUUGCUACAGUAGCCCCACAAAAAACAUAACAAGGCCACAACAGAGAUGCGACACGUGCCAUGUACCAACUCCCCACACUUCUCAAGGAGGAAAGGCACCUGGUGAUGUUCUGCAGUUCAUCCCCUGCAGCACCUGAGCACCCUUCUCUCUCAGCAUACAUCCCUGCCUGCUGGAGGAAAGCCAGGGACCUGCACGAAACAUCAGCACGCGGCGUCCCAGCCCAUGCAGUUGUCAUGGACAACAGGAGUUCAGAGGAAAGUGUGGGGCAUGUAGACCAUAUGGGCUGCAGGAAUUCAGGUAGCUAUCAGAGUCCAGGAUGAUUUAGGGAAAGGAGUUUACAAAACAGGCUUAUUUUGGAAAGGGCCUGGCACACCGUAGGUUUUCAGUAAAUAUUGACCAAAUCGAUGCAUAAUUCUGCAAUUCCUAAGGAGGAGGUUGAUGGGAACUAAGGAAUCAAGGAAAGAGGAGAGAGAGGGAAUGUUUGGAUCACUCCUGGAUGGGGUGUUUUCAACAUAAAACCCAUGCAGCUGAAAGGUCGUUAUCUUCAGACACAGUAUCCAGGGAAAAACCAAAUAUGACAUUGAAAAUAAGCUCAUGGCAAAUACAACAUCACUGAAGGAAGCAAGAACCUUUGUAAUGCUCCAGGGAGGAGUCCAGCCGCCGUCAUCCCCAGUCAGCCUGCAGGGCGCUGGCCAGCCUUACCAGAGCUGGGAAAGGGCCUGGCUGGACUCCCAGCUACACACAUGUAAGAUGAUGCUGACCAAACUGAGGGCCUCACACGGCAUUUGUUCUCUGCACAGAGCACCAUCAUCCCAGCCCAAGCCUCUUCCUGUUCUAUUUAUUUCUGAAAAUAGAUUGCUGUACCUGCAACUUUUAUUCCUUUGGGGAACCAUCCCUUCUGCUCUCCUUGUGGUCCUGUGGGACUACCAGUCACUGUUUCCCUCCUCUAGCCCCAGACUCUCACCACAGAGGUGGGCAGCUGUGCCCAGCUGAAAGAACUACAGUGCCACAUCUCCCCAAACACAGUAACUGGUAUAGGUGUACACAACUUAGCAAGGCGUCUCAUUUCCAGGCGCAUAUACAUAGGUGUGGAGAGGAGGCUUGCUUUCCACUGACUGCCAAGCUGGGGCCACGUAAGCCUGGAGUUGCUAGCAGCCAUUUUCCCUGACUAUAUGAAGGAAGCCCACCUGUAGUAGGGGAGAAUUAGACUCACACAUGAACAAACAAUCAGAUAGAGCAGAACCAAGAGAAGGAGGAGAGAGAAAGACCAUCAUUUGUGUUGCUGGAUCUGACCUUACCUGAAGGCAAGCACCCCUGAAUGUCUCACUUUGUGAGUCAAACAACCUUUUCAGCUUGAGGGGUUUGCCUGUUGUGUACAAUCAAGAAUACCAAUGAAUAUAGCUUUCUUCCUGAGACACUCCCCCAGAUUGACCCACAUACCUGAGCAAACUCACCUCCUCCAACUCCAUGCCAAGUGUCUAAGGUGUCUAAGAUUAUAGUCUGCAUGUAAGAGCUGGCCAGGCAACAGUAAGCUAGAAGAAGGGAAAUCACAGUUGGGCCCCGCCUCUAUACUUCAACCCAACCCCCAGGGAUAUACCUCCCACUACAGGCUUUUGUUUCCCCACCUUAGGAAGCUUGGAAUACAAGAGGCACAACUGUCAUCUCCCCAAGUCCAAGAGCACCUCCUGGAGUCCCAGACCGUCUCUCCUCCCAAAUGGGAAAAAGUCCUCUGCAAACCCACUAUUCACCCCACCCUAAGUGGCAGAAACAUGGGGGCAGAAGCAUGGUCUUUCUGGGUGGAGUAGGGAUGCUCCUCUAAGUGGUACUCCCACCCACUCUUCAUUUCUUCAAAAAUUGUGUAUUUAGUCCUUACCUUGUGCCAGGCACUAUGCUAGGCACUGGGGCUACAAAGACCCUCAUGCCAAACUGUCUGUUGUCUACCUGGUAUCAGUGAGCCUUCUUCUACACCCUCUUCCACAUCCCAGGAGUCCCAUAUCUGCAGGGUUCCAA
rnacentral:lncRNA from 1 species